rnacentral:rRNA from 1 species
UAUCCUAACCGUGCAAAGGUAGCGCAAUCAAUUGUCCCAUAAAUCGAGACUAGUAUGAAUGGCUAAACGAGGUCUUAACUGUCUCUUACAGGCAAUCGGUGAAAUUGAUCUCCCUGUACAAAAGCAGGGAUACACCCAUAAGACGAGAAGACCCUGUGGAACUUUAAAACCAGCAACCACCUUAAAACACAUAUCCACCCACCGGGUUCACUGACACAUAAGAUACUGGCCUGCGUUUUUCGGUUGGGGCGACCUUGGAGCAAAACAAAACCUCCAAAAACUAGACCACACCUCUAGACCAAGAGCAACCUCUCAACGUGCUAAUAGUACCCAGACCCAAUAUAAUUGAUCAAUGGACCAAGCUACCCCAGGGAUAACAGCGCAAUCUCCUCCGAGAGUCCGUAUCGACGGGGAGGUUUACGACCUCGAUGUUGGAUCAGGACAUCCUAGUGGUGCAGCCGCUACUAA